rnacentral:rRNA from 1 species
AACGAACGCUGGCGGCAUGCCUAACACAUGCAAGUCGAACGAGACCUUCGGGUCUAGUGGCGCACGGGUGCGUAACGCGUGGGAACCUGCCCUUAGGUUCGGAAUAACUCCCCGAAAGGGGUGCUAAUACCGGAUAAUGUCUUCGGACCAAAGAUUUAUCGCCUUUGGAUGGGCCCGCGUUGGUUUAGCUAGUUGGUAGGGUAAAAGCCUACCAAGGCGACGAUCCAUAGCUGGUCUGAGAGGAUGAUCAGCCACACUGGGACUGAGACACGGCCCAGACUCCUACGGGAGGCAGCAGUGGAGAAUAUUGGACAAUGGGCGAAAGCCUGAUCCAGCAAUGCCGCGUGAGUGAUGAAGGCCUUAGGGUUGUAAAGCUCUUUUACCCGGGAUGAUAAUGACAGUACCGGGAGAAUAAGCUCCGGCUAACUCCGUG